rnacentral:sRNA from 1 species
AGAAUUGCAGACCUCUAAUUGAUCCUCAGAUUGCAGUUCAUAUAUUUUGUUGACAAAUGUUUAAAACUUAGAAAGAAUGUAUUUACUUACUAUAACAUAUUUUACAAAGAUCAAACAUAUAUGCAAAUGUUGAGAGUUACAAUACAAUGUAAAAGCCCAGUAAGUUAUGGAUAACUAUAUAUUGAUAUUCAAUAAUGUACAAAUUAUGUGUCCUUUACAAUUGCUCCAUGUUGUACUGUCAAAUCACAGGUCUCUAGUAUUGAAGACAUUUGAACUUUUUAGUUUUUAUUUUAAUACUAAUCUUCAAGAGAACUUCCACCAUUACAGAACAUAGACUUUCAAAGAAUCCCUUUAUGCCUGCAUGCCGUAAAGGUGUUUUUGGAAAGCGUGUUAUCCUGGAGUGUGCCAUUUGUGGUAACAACAAUUUCAAUUCACUAGUGUUGUCUUGCAUCCAUUAUACCAAUGAAAACUGUCUUUUUCAGCAGGAUAUUCUAAAAUGUGUUGAUGAAAAAUGAAUAAUGGAUAUGUUAUCAAGCAAUAUUUCAUUACAAUAUACUUGACCCCCAAUAAAGAAAACAUGGAUUUUAAAAAAAAAUUAAUCUAUAAAAUAUUUUGAAUUUAUAUGUGUUUUACCUUAAAUAAUUUAUUUUCAAAAGUAUACAUGUAUUUUGCAAAUAAAGAAUGAGAUAUAUAAGAAG